UCGUGACGCGUGACAGAAGAAUCAGUAACGGUUUACUUUACAUCUUGCCUGGGCGUGUUCUUUAUGAUAUCAGUUACACAGGAAGCCUGAACCUUCAGCACAAGUAUAUGCGUCGUGUCUUGCAGCGAUUGAGUUUAUUAAUCAGGAAAACUGUUCCCUCGAAUUCCCUUGAAGCUGAUGGAUGGACCCGACAAAGAAACCUCCCGCAAAAUGCUCAAGCGAUGCUUUACGCAAAGACUCUUCGGUUGUUUCUUUUAUUUCAGUUCUACUGCUUAUCGCGCUGUUGUUAAGGAUGGAAAUAAUGAACAGGGAAACGGAGAUGAACGAACUUCGCAUCUCAGCAGUUGAAAGUCACAUGAAGUUGUACGCUUUGACGAAUAAAGGAAAUGAAAACGUCGGGGAUAAGACCAAAACGUCAACAGUUUUCGACAUAACAAGCAGCAAAACGCCUCAGUUCGACACCAGACAGUAACAAAUCUCGGACAAUAGAGGACGUGCGAAGUGAGAUCGAUAAGCAAAUCAUGAUCAGUCAAAUGCAGCCAGCAUUUUUUUGUCAGCCGUCAGGGAGAGUCUGCGUCCCAGCUCCUCCUGGUAAGAAAGGGAGCCGAGGUCCCCGUAGAAGACGAGGAGCGCAAGGACAGAAGGGAAAGAGUAGUGAGCAAGGUAUAAUGGGCUUACCUGGAAAACACGGCAAGCAAGGCAUCAGGGGAGAUAAAGGACUGGGAGGAGAAAAAGGUGAAAAAGGCGCGUCUGGCCCCCGUGGAAUGACAGGACAGCAAUGAGAACCAGGGGAAAGCGCCUCCUUGCCAGAGGUGACCAUAUCACCUGAGACUAAAACAGUAACUGAGAACCAGACUGCUAGAUUCUAUUGCUCGACCAGAGGACACCCAACACCUGUCGUGACCUGGAGCAAACUCAGAGGCUUACUUGCUGGCGAACGAGUCAAAACCAACCAAAAUGGCCGCCUUGAGGUUACAAAGUCGAAUUUCAAUGACUCUGGGGAGUACAUGUGUUCAGCAGUCAGUGUUCUGGGGAAGGACACCAAGACUGCAAAGCUUUUUUG